UAGCCACGCCACCGCCCCCCUUCUCGGUUCGGUCAUUUCUGAUCAGUACGAAUCCAGGGAGUGAAAAAAAUGAAGAAGGAAGAGAGGGUUUUAAAAAAGAUUCAGUAAUAAGUAUGACGUCAAGCGGAGAGUUGCUAAAUGAGGACAGAAGGUCAGUAUAAUGACUAGGAACACUUUGAGCAUUAAUGUGGGCUAUAUUAAGAUUAUUGGAAUAAGUAGAAAAACAUUGGGCGAUCCGAUCAUGUAGGGUCAGAACUGUGGAAGAGCUACUAUUCACACUGACAAAACUAUCAGAUGAAGAGGUACACGAAAAGAAACUAUCAUUGAGAUCAAGUAAAUCAUCAGUUUCAUACAUUGAUAUGUUAAUAGAUUUCAGACGUGCACAAUUAAGACGUGUAUGUGUAUAUGCAGAAGAACCAAAGUGGAACUUAAAUAAAAAAAUUAAAAAAACCAAAUUAAUCAAUUACCCAGUGGAUUACCUUACCAACUCGCUGGUUUAGUGACAGAGAUUGAACAGAGAAAAAUUAAAGACAACUUAAAUUAUAUGCUUGCUAGACACAAAAGAAAUUAGCAUUUAAAAAAAAAAAAAAAAAAAAACCUUAAAUUAUAAAGUACAUAGUAAAAGGACAUGUUUUACAUAAAAAAAAAAAAAAGUUUUAUGACCACACAGCACCACACAGAUUUUUUGGCAAAGAACACGAAUAAAACGCAAAUCACAAAGUAUGUUUUGUCAACUAACAGCAAGAACAAAACGCAAAAGACAGUUUAGUUGAAAGCAAAAUGUCAAUGUCAAGUCGAUGUCAAAUAAUGUAAACAUAUUAUUCAGAAAACAAUUUCUCUCGAUAUUAACUAGUAUUUGAUCCGUGAUACAUAAACCAACCAAACAGUAACUAUACAAUUACAAUAUGAAUAUAAGCAUAUAAAGAAAAAUUAGAAUACAUGAAACAUAUUAUUAUCACCGACUACCGACAAUUUAAAACACAUGCAUGAAUACCAUGUAGAAGUAGAACUUUUCUUCUCAUCAUGGUCUCAUGCCUAUCCAACCCAAGGCUGAGAAGCUCAAUCUGGGUCUUCAUCUGAGAAAGUGUUUGCCACACAAAAGCUUUAAAAUCAUUAAACUCACGCGAUAAAGUUGAAAUAUCGACAUGUGCUGGAACAGCUCCGGUAGAUGCCUUCUGCAGCUUCAGGUCAUAGUCGUUCAUACGUGUUUGGAAAAGCUUCUCGAGGCUUUCUAGACUAUUUAUAAGUUUCAGAUCCAUGAUGUGUGCAAGUAAAGUUUACGGCCAAAACAA